UACAGAGGCCUCGAGCGUUGUUCGGAAUUACUGGGCGUAAAGGGAAUGUAGGUGGUGACGUAAGUCAGAUGUGAAAGCCCUGGGCUUAACCCGGGAAGUGCAUUUGAUACUGCGUUGCUUGAGUACGAGAGAGGAAAGCGGAAUUUCCAGUGUAGGAGUGAAAUCCGUAGAUAUUGGAAGGAAUACCGAUGGCGAAGGCAGCUUUCUGGCUCGUAACUGACACUGAGAUUCGAAAGCGUGGGUAGCAAAC
rnacentral:rRNA from 1 species